UACGGGUAGGACCAAGCGUUGUUCGGAUUUACUGGGCGUAAAGGGCGCGUAGGCGGUCAGCACAAGUCAGUUGUGAAAUCUCCGGGCUUAACUCGGAAAGGUCAACUGAUACUGUGCGACUAGAGUGCAGAAGGGGCAACUGGAAUUCUCGGUGUAGCGGUGAAAUGCGUAGAUAUCGAGAGGAACACCUGCGGCGAAGGCGGGUUGCUGGGCUGACACUGACGCUGAUGCGCGAAAGCCAGGGGAGCGAACGGG
rnacentral:rRNA from 1 species